AUUGUUCAAACACGUAGGCAAAGAGCCAGGAAAUUAGCUUAAAAGCAGUUUAUGGAUGGGAGGUGGGGCAGAUCUCCAGAGCUAUCCUGCCGCCAUCCCAGAGUGCCCCGUAUAAGACACCUGGAUCUCAUAUCUGCUUCUGCAUUCAAUCUGUUGCACCAAGUUGUUUUGACUGAAGGGUAUGAAGAAAAACUGGCCUCAUCCAAAUAUGCGGUUGGAAAAGGGUGGAGUAUUUUAACAGCCCUUCAAAUAAUUAGUAGAGAACACAGUUUGAACCACUUCUUACUGAACUGGGGAAACCGACCCCUGACAGAUUGAAAGAUGAGGCUUCCUUGAAUGAGAGAAGUGCUACCUAAUAUCGUCGGUGGGAUGGAGUCAGGAAUGGGACAAAGACAAAGAUAGUGUCUCGCUCUGUCACCCAUGCUGGAGUAUAGUGGCACAAUCAUGGCUCACUGCUCCCUCAACCUCCCAGGCUCAAGCAAUCCUCCCACCUCAGCCUUCCGAGUGGCUAGGACUUGGGACUACAGACAUGUACCACCAUCCCCAGCUAAUGUUUUUAUUUUUUGUAGAGAUGGGGUUUCAUCAUGUUGCCCAGGCUGGUCUCGAACUCCUGGGCUCAAGCGAUCCGCCCACCUUGGCCUCCCAAAGGGCUGGGAUUACAGGCAUGAGCCACCGUGUCCUGCUCUGAUUUUCUACCAUACUGAUAACAAUGGUUAAUGUUUUGAUAGAUAUUCCAAAAUUUUUUCUGUGCUUAUUAUAGAACUGAGAUUAUAAAAAACAUUCAGUUUUAUAAUUUUUGUCCAAAAAAUUCAAUCUUACAGCAUUUACCAUUGCAUAAAUGUGCCAUCAUUUUAAACCAUUCUCAUAUUGCUAGACUUUAUUUCUUCCAUACUUAUUUUGCUAUUUUCACUGUGAUGAAUAUGUUUGUUCCUAAAUCUUUGUCCAAUAUUGCUUUACUAUUUCCUUCAAGUAAAUGCAUAGAUGGAGAAUACAUGUGUCAUAGAUGGAAAAUGCUAUGUCAAAAUUCAUGGGCAUUUUUAUGACUCUUGCUGUAUUGUCCAACAGCUUUUCAGAAAGGUACCAAUUUACAAUCCUUCAUGAAGGAUUCACUACAUGUUCUCCCCUACUGAGUGUUAGCUUCAUUCACUUCACAUAUUUGAGAGAUAAAAAUGAUAUCUCACUGUUGUUUGGAUGUGCAUAUCUUACCUCAAAGAGCUCUCACGUAAGAUUUAUUCUUUAAGAGCUAUAAUUUGUUUCUAAGCCUCCUGAUUAAAAAGUCAAUAAAGAGAAACAAAUUGAUGAAGAAAGAUUAUGAUAAUGAACUCAGAUUAAAAUUUAGUUUUAAAAAACCAAGAAAGGGACAUAUCAAUUUGGAUAAAAAGCAGGACACUCUUCAUUUAUGAUAACCAAGAACUGCAGGGAAAGAAUCCCUCUAUCAUUCAGUUGCCAUUACUCCUCUGGCCAUUUUCUGAAGUCUGUUCCCCAAACAAUACAGGAGCUGGGGUAAAACACUGAUGUUCCAGUUUUCUCUAAUUCCUUAUAUAUAAUCUUAUCGACAUAAUCCAACAUAUUCAAUUUCAUUUGGGGGUAGUGUAUUUCAGAGAAACGAACUAAAACGCUGUCUUAAGUAUUUGUGUGACAGGUCUAAUGCUACUACAAUAAAAAUAAAGCUGCCAUUUCCUAAGAGCCAGGCACUGUGCCAGGUAAUUUACACACACAAUUAAUUUUUGCAAUACUUAAUUGCAGAAGCUAUUAGAUCUAUUUCACUGAUGAGAAAACUGAGGCUUAGAUUUGUUUAUUUAUUUUUACUGUGAUAAGAGUCACACAGCUAUUAAAUGAAUAAUCUGAAACUUGAAUCCAGCUGUCUGGUGCAAAUGCCAAUGUUCUCUCACAAAUCCCACCUUUGUUUUGUACAUCAUUUGACAUUAAUCAUAUAUGAGAUUAUUAUCACUAUCCUUAUUUAAACUUCAAGAAAGGAAAAUUAUGAUAAUAUAGUAAUAUAACAUUAUCUUAACAAAAUAUCUUAUACUUUAGGUAUCUAACGUCCAUUAUAA
rnacentral:lncRNA from 10 species